AGUAACACGUGGGCAACCUGCCUUGCAGACUGGGAUAACUCCGGGAAACCGGGGCUAAUACCGGAUGAUCAUUUGGAUCGCAUGAUCCGAAUGUAAAAGUGGGGAUUUAUCCUCACACUGCAAGAUGGGCCCGCGGCGCAUUAGCUAGUUGGUAAGGUAAUGGCUUACCAAGGCAACGAUGCGUAGCCGACCUGAGAGGGUGAUCGUCCACACUGGAAAUGAGACACGGUCCAGACUCCUACGGGAGGCAGCAGUAGGGAAUCAUCCGCAAUGGGCGAAAGCCUGACGGUGCAACGCCGCGUGAACGAUGAAGGUUUUCGGAUCGUAAAGUUCUGUUAUGAGGGAAGAACAAGUGCCGUUCAAAUAGGGCGGCACCUUGACGGUACCUCACGAGAAAGCCCCGGCUAACUACGUGCCAGCAGCCGCGGUAAUACGUAGGGGGCAAGCGUUGUCCGGAAUUAUUGGGCGUAAAGCGCGCGCAGGCGGUCUCUUAAGUCUGAUGUGAAAGCCCACGGCUCAACCGUGGAGGGUCAUUGGAAACUGGGAGACUUGAGUGUAGGAGAGGAAAGUGGAAUUCCACGUGUAGCGGUGAAAUGCGUAGAUAUGUGGAGGAACACCAGUGGCGAAGGCGACUUUCUGGCCUACAACUGACGCUGAGGCGCGAAAGCGUGGGGAGCAAACAGGAUUAGAUACCCUUGUAGUCCACGCUGUAAACGAUGAGUGCUAGGUGUU
rnacentral:rRNA from 1 species